rnacentral:rRNA from 1 species
CAAUAGCGUAUAUUAAAGUUGUUGCGGUUAAAAAGCUCGUAGUUGGAUUUCUGCUGAGAACGACCGGUCCGCCCUUUGGGUGUGUAUCUGGCUCUUUCUUGGCAUCUUCUUGGUGAACGUUGCUGCACUUGACUGUGUGGAGCGCUACCCAGGACUUUUACUUUGAGGAAAUUAGAGUGUUUCAAGCAGGCAUACGCCUUGAAUACAUUAGCAUGGAAUAAUAAGAUAGGACCUCGGUUCUAUUUUGUUGGUUUCUAGAGCUGAGGUAAUGAUUAAUAGGGAUAGUUGGGGGCAUUCGUAUUUAACUGUCAGAGGUGAAAUUCUUGGAUUUGUUAAAGACGAACUAAUGCGAAAGCAUUUGCCAAGGAUGUUUUCAUUGA